rnacentral:lncRNA from 1 species
GGGGGCGUGGACUUCCUGCCUGUCUCGCUCCUGAAGAUGAGUUUCCAGCCAAAGCACGUGUCCAGAGGCUGCUGGCCAGCUUGAGGUCACACCUGCAGAUCUGCUUCUGGCAUUUGCUCCCAGGACCUGUACCAGCCCGGGAAGGAAACUGGAGCGCUCCCCUCUGGUUAGUGAGUCAGAGAGACUCAUCGCCUCCCAUCCCACCCAAGUGGCAAGAGCCUCUCUUGGGAACUUCAGAAAUCCUGCCACCUCCUAGAGCCUCCCAGGAUGGUGGUGGAAUCCCCGUUCCUGCUGAAUUCAGAAAGCCCCCGACUAUAAAAAAGCUGUGUGUUGCUGUGAUGCUGAAAGCUGUGCCACCGGGAUCUCAAAUGGCAGCAGGGUCGCCCAUGGUGGACAGGUUUCAGAGGACUUUCCAGACUAAGACAGACAAGGAAGAAGGACCUGGCCACCCACUUCCGAAAAAACUGGCCAUGAAGACCCUGUGAAUAACAGUGGAGCUUGUCUGCUACAGAGCCGGAAGUUAUGUGCUCGAGACUCAGAUAGGAUCUGAUUCAUCAGAGGAUACCGGACCUCUCACCCAGGACCCCAAGUGUGCACCGUUGAAGCCCUUGUCUUCACCUCCGACUGCCUGAUCGGGGAUCUGUUGGCUACAUCAAGGCGAAGGUGGUCUCAGCCUGGAGCCCGGUGUCCUCGGCUCCCCUCCAAUGCUCGCUGUACUCGCUAGCUCACCCAACCACCGUCGAUCAUGCACCGCCUCUGUCUAAUAGGAAUUUUCUUUUCUUUGCCUUUAUUUUUAUAGUCACCCUCUAUUUGUGACAAGCAAUUAUUGUUUUUCCCUAAUGCCAGAGUGGUAUGUUUCCUUCUUAAAUAAAUUUAUUUAGAUUAAGAAAAGCUAAAAAAAAGUAAAGUCAAAGUGCAAUGUUGAACCAAACAUGAGGGAGAUGACGUGUGAAAGGCUGGAGUUUGGGAAGCAUAAUCCUCGCCCCCUCCUACUCGCCGAGGAAGCAGCGGAGGCCGCUGGA